rnacentral:lncRNA from 12 species
AUGCAAUCUUAUCAUCAUCAACAAAACAUCUCCUCCAAUUUUACAGUAAAUUGGAAUCAUGGAGCUGAGUUAUGGGGCCUCACGUCUCCAGGCUCUGAAUUCACAAGAUUUUACCUCCCUUCCUUUAUCGGGGGCCCGGCAUCCUCACGUGCCCUCCGCAGCAACCUGCAUUUCUCUUCAUGCUUCCAAUCGGUCCUUUCCAUCUCUUUCUGUACCUAUGUUCUGGGUCCCUCUUGUGGUGGCUGGGAUGGACCAGGCAAGGAUGUUGCACCAAAGGACCUGCAUGGAGGUGGAAGGUUAUCACGAGGUCAGAAGCUGGAACAAUCAGAAAAUGGAGGAUCACAAGGGGAACAAAUGGUCCAGGAUGAGGACCACAGACAAGCCUAGGAUGGUGGAGCUUUAUUUUAUGUUGUUGAGACCUAAAAUGAGAGUUAUUCUACAACAUAGCACAGUUUGA